rnacentral:rRNA from 1 species
GAUGAACGCUGGCGGCGUGCCUAAUACAUGCAAGUCGAGCGAACAGACGAGGAGCUUGCUCCUCUGACGUUAGCGGCGGACGGGUGAGUAACACGUGGAUAACCUACCUAUAAGACUGGGAUAACUUCGGGAAACCGGAGCUAAUACCGGAUAAUAUAUUGAACCGCAUGGUUCAAUCGUGUAAGACGGUUUUGCUGUCACUUAUAGAUGGAUCCGCGCCGCAUUAGCUAGUUGGUAAGGUAACGGCUUACCAAGGCAACGAUUCGUAGCCGACCUGAGAGGGUGAUCGGCCACACUGGAACUGAGACACGGUCCAGACUCCUACGGGAGGCAGCAGUAGGGAAUCUUCCGCAAUGGGCGAAAGCCUGACGGAGCAACGCCGCGUGAGUGAUGAAGGUCUUCGGAUCGUAAAACUCUGUUAUUAGGGAAGAACAAAUGUGUAAGUAACUAUGCACGUCUUGACGGUACCUAAUCAGAAAGCCACGGCUAACUACGUG